rnacentral:rRNA from 1 species
AGAUUGAACGCUGGCGGAAUGCUUUACACAUGCAAGUCGAACGGCAGCACGGGGGCAACCCUGGUGGCGAGUGGCGAACGGGUGAGUAAUACAUCGGAACGUGCCCAGUCGUGGGGGAUAACUACGCGAAAGCGUAGCUAAUACCGCAUACGAUCUACGGAUGAAAGCGGGGGACCGUAAGGCCUCGCGCGAUUGGAGCGGCCGAGUGGCAGAUUAGGUAGUUGGUGGGGUAAAGGCUCACCAAGCCUGCGAUCUGUAGCUGGUCUGAGAGGACGACCAGCCACACUGGGACUGAGACACGGCCCAGACUCCUACGGGAGGCAGCAGUGGGAAUUUGGACAAGUGGGCGCAAGCCUGAUCCAGCCAUCCGCGUGCAGGAUGAAGGCCCGUCGGGUUGUAAACUGUCGUUUUAGUAACCGGAAACGAAAACGCCCGUACUUCUAACUACGAGGGGUUCCAGUGACGGUACCGUAAGAAUAA